rnacentral:tRNA from 1 species
GGGGAUGUGGCUCAGUGGUACAGUACUUGCCUAGCAUGCAUAAGGCCCUGGGUUCUAUUCUCAGUACCAUUA